rnacentral:rRNA from 1 species
UGACCGCUGGCGGCGUGCCUAAUACAUGCACGUCGAGCGAACAGACGAGGAGCUUGCUCCUCUGACGUUAGCGGCGGACGGGUGAGUAACACGUGGAUAACCUACCUAUAAGACUGGGAUAACUUCGGGAAACCGGAGCUAAUACCGGAUAAUAUAUUGAACCGCAUGGUUCAAUAGUGAAAGACGGUUUUGCUGUCACUUAUAGAUGGAUCCGCGCCGCAUUAGCUAGUUGGUAAGGUAACGGCUUACCAAGGCAACGAUGCGUAGCCGACCUGAGAGGGUGAUCGGCCACACUGGAACUGAGACACGGUCCAGACUCCUACGGGAGGCAGCAGUAGGGAAUCUUCCGCAAUGGGCGAAAGCCUGACGGAGCAACGCCGCGUGAGUGAUGAAGGUCUGCGGAUCGUAAAACUCUGUUAUUAGGGAAGAACAAAUGUGUAAGUAACUAUGCACGUCUUGACGGUACUAAUCAGAAAGCCACGGCUAACUACGUG